GAUCCUGGCUCAGGAUGAACGCUGGCGGCGUGCUUAACACAUGCAAGUCGAGCGAAGCAAUUUAAAUGAGACUUCGGUGGAUUUUAAAUUGACUGAGCGGCGGACGGGUGAGUAACGCGUGGAUAACCUGCCUCACACAGGGGGAUACCAGUUAGAAAUGACUGCUAAUACCGCAUAAGCGCACGGUACCGCAUGGUACAGUGUGAAAAACUCCGGUGGUGUGAGAUGGAUCCGCGU
rnacentral:rRNA from 1 species